GACGAACGCUGGCGGCGUGCUUAACACAUGCAAGUCGAACGAUGAAGCCUAGCUUGCUAGGUGGAUUAGUGGCGAACGGGUGAGUAAUACGUGAGUAACCUACCUUUAACUCUGGGAUAAGCCUGGGAAACUGGGUCUAAUACCGGAUACGACCAAUCUCCGCAUGGGGUGUUGGUGGAAAGCGUUAUGUAGUGGUUAUAGAUGGGCUCACGGUCUAUCAGCUUGUUGGUGAGGUAACGGCUCACCAAGGCGACGACGGGUAGCCGGCCUGAGAGGGUGACCGGCCACACUGGGACUGACACACGGCCCACACUCCUACGGGAGGCAGCAGUGGGGAAUAUUGCACAAUGGGCGCAAGCCUGAUGCCGCCACGCCGCGUGAGGGAUGACGGCCUUCGGGUUGUAAACCUCUGUUAGCAAGGAAGAAGAGAGAUUGACUGUACCUGCUGAGAAAGCGCCUGCUAACUACGUGUCAGCAGCCGCGGUAAUACCUAGGGCGCGAGCGUUGUCCGGAAUUAUUGGGCGUAAGAGCUUGUAGGCGGUUUGUCGCGUCUGCUGUGAAAGGCCGGGGCUUAACCCCGUGUAUUGCAGUGGGUACGGGCAGACUAGAGUGCAGUAGGGGAGACUGGAAUUCCUGGUGUAGCGGUGGAAUGCGCAGAUACCAGGAGGAACACCGAUGGCGAAGGCAGGUCUCUGGGCUGUAACUGACGCUGAGAAGCGAAAGCAUGGGGAGCGAACAGGAUUAGAUACCCUGGUAGUCCAUGCCGUAAACGUUGGGCACUAGGUGUGGGGGACAUUCCACGUUUUCCGCGCCGUAGCUAACGCAUUAAGUGCCCCGCCUGGGGAGUACGGCCGCAAGGCUAAAACUCAAAGAAAUUGACGGGGGCCCGCACAAGCGGCGGAGCAUGCGGAUUAAUUCGAUGCAACGCGAAGAACCUUACCAAGGCUUGACAUAUACUGGACCGCAUCAGAGAUGGUGUUUCCCUUCGGGGCUGGUAUACAGGUGGUGCAUGGUUGUCGUCAGCUCGUGUCGUGAGAUGUUGGGUUAAGUCCCGCAACGAGCGCAACCCUCGUUCUAUGUUGCCAGCACGUUAUGGUGGGGACUCAUAGGAGACUGCCGGGGUCAACUCGGAGGAAGGUGGGGAUGACGUCAAAUCAUCAUGCCCCUUAUGUCUUGGGCUUCACGCAUGCUACAAUGGCCGGUACAGAGGGUUGCGAUACUGUGAGGUGGAGCUAAUCCCUAAAAGCCGGUCUCAGUUCGGAUUGGGGUCUGCAACUCGACCCCAUGAAGUCGGAGUCGCUAGUAAUCGCAGAUCAGCAACGCUGCGGUGAAUACGUUCCCGGGCCU
rnacentral:rRNA from 1 species